GUCUUAAGUGAUUGUAUUUUGCUAUAUAAAUACAUGAAGUGGCUGAUUCAUCUGUAAAUGAAGAGACUAAAAUCUGAUAACGGCGAAAAAGGCAAAAAAAACUAAUGCUUUAGCAGGCAGAAAGAUUAAAUUCCAAUUGAGGACUGUAUCUAUAGGUAUUUUUCAAUGUGUAUAUAUGUUAGAUUGCUGAGUUAUAUAGAACCAGUGUGGUGGGAGUCUCUCUAGGUUUUGCCCUUUACUCUUCUAAAGUGUAAGAAGUUUUGCUUUUCUUUUUCACAGUAAAGGAUUUUUUCCCCAGAAGUUUUAAGAAUAAAAUAAAUACCUGAGAAAUUACCUGUAAUUCUUUGAUGAAAUUUUAAGAUUUCCUUUAGCCAUGUGAACUAUUUAUUUUUUUCUCUUAUGGAAUUAAGGGAUGUUUUUUUCUUUUUUUAAAGGAAAGCUAUUGGGACGCCUGGCUGGCUCAGCAGUUUAGAGUCUGCCUUUGGCCCAGGGCGUGAUCCUGGAGUCCCAGGAUCCAGUCCCACAUCGGGGCUCCCUGCAUGGAGCCUGCUUCUCCCUCUGCCUGUGUCUCUGCCUCUCUCUCUCUCUGUGUCUCUCAUGAAUAAAUAAAUAAAUAAUCUUUUAAAAAUAAAUAAAUAAAGGAAAGCUAUUUUAAGUUUUUGGCUGUGCUACUCAAAGGCAGCUAGUUACUUGAAUAAUAUAUUUUUAAAAUUUAGGCUCCUUGUUUUAUACCCUUCUGUAAUUUAAAUAAUGGCAGACUCUUUAAAGAAUUUUGGGCGGAGAAGAUUAAAGUAUCUGGGAUUUUCAAGCAUUAAUACAGGAGAUUAGAAUAAGAAAUACUGUCUGGGCUCAUUGCAGUAAUUAUCUCAUUGCUAUUUAAAUAACCCCCUGUUGGCACUAUGGUGGUACAAAUACUUUUGUGAAACAAAAUAGGGUUUGUACUAGAAAACUAGUUCUUAUAGAGAAUUAUCUUUAUAAAUAUUUUGAAAACCUCUAGUGACAAUAUCCCCAAAAUAAUCAUUCUGUGGUUUGUUGUUGUUAUUAUUAUUAUUAUAUUUUGCCUAUCUCUUCUCCAUUACUCUGUAAGUUUCUUAUUGAGCAUCUAACAAAGAAAUAAAUACUUCGCUAAUUUUUUAUCAUUGUGUAAAUCUCUAAAGCCAAAUACUGUAAAGUCUUAAACUGUUUUCCUUACUUGCUUAAAUAAUUAAAAAAGUAAAUAAAAAGGAUUAAAUGUUUCAUGAUUAGGCUCAAAGGAAGGAAAAAGAAUUUAUUGAAUGUAAACUAAUGUGUUUGGCGCUUAAUAGAAACGAAGUUCUUUUAUGUAUGCAUUACAAAAAGGCUGUGAGGAAAGAUUUUACAGAUGAGAGAAACCCAGGAUUCAAAGGGGUUCACCUGAAGUUACCUGUAUCACAUGGAUAUGUUUUUACAGAUUUGAUUGAAAAGUGCUUAUUCUUUUUAGUCUCUCAUUGCUGAAUAGUAUUUUAAACAUGAUAGUUCUUAUUCUGAAUACUACUUCAAAUAUAAAUAUUGGAGUGGAGAUAAAGCAAUAAUCCAGCAAUCUGAUAUGCUUAAGUGUUUCUUGGUAAGGAAGGAGAGAAGGAGGAAUCUGAAUUUUUCCAUCACUGAGAUUAUCUGAGUAAGAGAAAUCCCAGUAAACCCACUUAGCUGAUUAAUAUAUAUCCUUUUGUAUCAGAUAAAUAUUAAAUAACGAUAGUACAAUAGCUUCAUUACGUCUAGUUACUGUUUGUCGUUCCGUGAUCAUGUGGUUCCUUUUUUUAAUGAAAGUUGAUUAGAAUCUUAAGAAAAAUCAAAAAAGAUUUAUUUCCCAUUCUACUUGGUGCUAAAUAAAUUAUUUCUACAGUUCCAGUUUCUAAGAAUUCUGUAAUUUAAAAUAAGCACGGGAGGAGGGCACCUGGCUGGCUCAGUCAGUAGUGCAUGCGACUCUUGAUCUCAGAGUUGUGAGUUCAAGCCCCACGUUGGGUGUAGAGAUUACUUAAAAAUAAAAUCAUAGGAAUGCCUGGAUGGCUCAGUGGUUGAGCAUCUGCCCUCGGCUCAGGGUGUGGUCCCGGGGUCCCAGGGUCCCAGGAUUGAGUCCGACAUCGGGCUCCCUGCGUGGAGCUUGCUUCUUCCUCUGCAUAUGUCUUUACCUCGCUCUGUGUGUGUCUCUCAUGAAUAAAUAAUCUUUUAAAAAAUAAAAUCAUAAAAAAAACGCACGUGAAUAUGAGUUAGGUGGGAAGGGUACUUGACCAGGAGGUAGGAGGUUUGGAUUCUCAUCCAGUUCUUUAUCACUGUGAGAUUUUGUGCUUAUUGCCCUUGUCUCAGGGCCUUACAUAAAGGUAGAGUUAAUCCUCUUGUCCACCCACUUGCUUAAGUUAGAAUGAAGAGCAAAGGAGAAGAUCUGAAAGUGCUUUGAACUAGAGUAUUAUAGAGUAAUAAUACUUAACUUUUAAAAAAUGACAUAGAACCCUUGGAAAGCUGAGAUCUCUUAAAAAUGUUUUGAAACGUUAGGGGAACAUGAAUCUAAAUCCUCUUCAGGACUGUCUAGAUCAUGAACUUUAGCUAUGGGCUAAGGAAAAAGCAGAGAUAAGCAUGAUCUAAAAUGUUAGCUAAUCAUCAAAAGUUAUAAUUCACUUCAAAUUUUGUUUUUGUUCUGGGGCUCUCCAGGAGUAUAAAUAGCACAUAGGUGAUUUGAAUGUAUUUAUUGAAAUCCUUAUAUUUGAAGGACUUACCUAUUUUCCAAGGAUGAAAUACAUUAAACAGCUUUGAACUGGAUGAUCUUUGGUUUGUCAUUUUGUGGUUUAGAGGCUCUUUUGGCUUUUGCCUAUGUGUCUAAGUACUCUCCCCCAUGGUUGGACCCCUUAGAGUGUUUUAAGUGCUCUCAGGACAGCAGUCACUUAGCAUGGCGGAGCCACUGGCGGGGCUCUAGGCAGUGUCUUUCUACUCCUUACCUGGGAUGAGUCACCUCAUGGCCUCCUGUUGCAGUAGGCUAGAUCCUAGAAUGCAUAAGCAUGUACCCGUGGCCAAAUAUGGAAUUCACUCAAAAUUCUCAAGCAUAUGUAAGAUGCCAGUUCUUAGAGUAUUAAAAAUCAGUAGACCAAUGUUUAGUAAGUAGAGCUCUAGCCUUGCAGUAAUCUUUUAUUUCUUAAGAAAUGGCAUUACUGGCUAAUGUGGUUAUAGCACAAAAUUAAAAACUGAUCUUCAGGUUAUUCCUACUUUUCUACAGAUUAAAAAGCUAAUUGCCUUUUAUCCAAAUUCUGUAUAUUCAUAAUGUCUUCCCAGCCCUUCUGGUUCCUUUUUUUAAGAUACCCUCUUUUUGUAUCUGAAAUUAGGUGAUUGCUGGAGCAGUUAGUGGUGAUUGAAAAGGGCUGAUGAUGCUUUCUGAAUGCUUAGUGUUAUUGAUUCUGGUACAUAUCCUAACCCAGUGGUUGGUUUGUUUAUUUCUUAACUGCAGCUCUAGUCAGGAAUACAUUUUACAUUGUCAUUUAGUAUGCAUGAAUCACCUAAAAUAAGUUGCAUGAAAUAAUAAUUCCCCUUACCAUAUGUAUUUCAAUAUCUUCCAUUUCACUUUUUUUAACGUGCAUCAUGAUCCACUAAAUGAAUUAACAUGACUUGCCAGAGUUUCAAACUAUAGUCUGAAAAAGUGAUCUUCAAGCUAUAUGAAAAUUUUUACUGUCAUCUUAUGAUUUGUAAAAUACAUUGGGAUGCAUUCAUUUUAAUUUGUACAUUUUCAAACUGUAAUAAAGUAGACUCUUCAAACAGGUACCCAAAAUGCAAUCCUUCAUCUAGAAAAAAAAAA
rnacentral:lncRNA from 1 species